UCGGGAAUAUUGGACAAUGGGGGCAACCCUGAUCCAGCAAUGCCGCGUGAGUGAAGAAGGCCUUCGGGUUGUAAAGCUCUUUUGUCAGGGAAGAAACGGUAGUAGCGAAUAACUAUUACUAAUGACGGUACCUGAAGAAUAAGCACCGGCUAACUACGUGCCAGCAGCCGCGGUAAUACGUAGGGUGCAAGCGUUAAUCGGAAUUACUGGGCGUAAAGCGUGCGCAGGCGGUUGUGUAAGUCAGAUGUGAAAUCCCCGGGCUCAACCUGGGAAUUGCAUUUGAGACUGCACGGCUAGAGUGUGUCAGAGGGGGGUAGAAUUCCACGUGUAGCAGUGAAAUGCGUAGAUAUGUGGAGGAAUACCGAUGGCGAAGGCAGCCCCCUGGGAUAACACUGACGCUCAUGCACGAAAGCGUGGGGAGCAAACAGGAUUAGAUACCCCCGUAGUCCCUGAGCGGGCUGGCAAGGCGCAU
rnacentral:rRNA from 1 species